rnacentral:lncRNA from 1 species
AUUGAGAACCACAGCCUUAGAGCAUUGGUAUUAGUUAACACUUGUUUCUCCUAAGGUGCUUAUAGGACUCGCUCAGUUUCCGCAGACAUCAGAGAAACUCCAUAAAGCUGACCUGUAGAAUGUGUCAGAGUGCAGUGGCUUCUCUCAUUUUGCUCCUGUAUAUAUCCUCUCUUUCCUUGCUAGGUCCCAUAGCCUCCAAUUUGGCCUUUCUGCAUUUUCUGAUCUAUUCUUAAUGGUGCUGUCUGUCUGUCAGUCUGUCUGUCUCUUUUCUUGAGACAGGGUUUCUCUGUAUAGCUCUGGCUGUCCUAGAACUUACUCUGUAGACCAGGCUGGCCUCUAACUCAGAAAGCUGCCUGCUUCUGCCUCUCAAGUUCUGGGAUUAAAGCUAUGCACUACCACUGCCUGGCAUGUUCAGUCUUUAAAACACACAGCUAAAAACACGUUUUCCUUCUUUAUACAUUUCUGUGGUCCUCUGUCAUCUAGGCUAAUGUCCAGCUUGCCACAAAGUUUUCUGUGAUCCAAUCCCGAAUGUGUCUGACUUUAUCUCAGCCAUUUCUGACUCACCAAAAAAUGUAUUUUUCAACAUGUUUCAACCAAAUUUUGUGCUUGUUUUAGUUAUACAUUACAUUUGGAAGCUAUAAGAGGCUAAUAUUUCUAAUAUGGGGCAUGUAGUAUUGAUGUUUUUGAAAUUGUUAAUGUUUGUAUGGGCUUCAUACUAUGUUCUCUUAUUUAAUCCUCACAGCAACCUUGCAAGACAUUGGACAGUGUUUUCUGAGAAGUACUCAAUGAAUAUCUGAAUUAGUAGAUGUCUUAGUUAGGGUUCUAUUGCUGUGAAGAGACACCAUGACCAAGGCAACUCUUACAAAGGAAAACAUUUAAUUAGGGCUGGCUUACAGUUGCAGAGGCUUAGCUCAUUUUUGUCAUGGCAGGAAGCAUGGCAGCAUGCAGGCAGACAUAGGGCUGGACAAGGAGCUGAGAGUUCUACAUCUUGAUCUGCAGGCAGCAGAAGCAAAUGUGUCCACCUGGAUAUAGCUUGAGCAUAUAUAAGACCUCAGAGCCUGCCUACACAGUGAUACACUUCCUCCACAAAGCAACACCUAUUCCAACAAGGCCACACCAACUAAAAGUGCCACACCUUUGGCCAAGCCUUCAAACACAGUAGUCUAUGGGGGCCAUUACAUAUUCAAACAACCACACUGGAUGAAUAAAUGAAUAAGUGGACUGUGGAGUAAAAAAAAAAAAACCUGGAUGCCUAUUCAGUUCUUGUGCUUACUAGAUAUGAUUUUCAUUAGUAAUCUAUCAUCUCUGAACCUAUUUGCUAACCUCUGAAUUUAGGUCGGUUCCCUGUUUAUCUUACUAGACAGUAUGAGGACUGAGUGAAAUGAUACAUAGUAGAUAAAACUGUUUUCAAAUUACUAUAAACUCUAUGCAAAUACUAUUGUUUAUAUUAUUUACUUAAUCCAGGUUCUAUAAGC